GGCCGCGGUUGCGAAGACGUGGGGUGAGCCGGCCGGCACAGGCGCAGCAACGAUGCCAACCUGG
rnacentral:ribozyme from 14 species